rnacentral:rRNA from 1 species
UAAUGAAUUGACGGGGACCCGCACAAGCAGCGGAGCGUGUGGUUUAAUCGUUGCUACACGAAGAACCUUACCUGGGUUUGACAUAUAGGUUGUAGGGAACUGAAAAGGGACCGACCCUUCGGGGAGCCUAUACAGGUGUUGCAUGGCUGUCGUCAGCCCGUGUCGUGAGAUGUUCGGUUAAGUCCGCUAACGAGCGCAACCCUCGUCGUAUGUUAUAUGUGUCAUACGAGACUGCCGGUAAAAGCCGGAGGAAGGUGAGGAUGAUGUCAAGUCAGCAUGACCUUUAUAUCCAGGGCUACACACACGCUACAAUGGUCUGUACAAUGGGUAGCCAAGCCGCGAGGCGGAGCCAAUCCUGAAAGCAGGCCUCAGUUCAGAUUGCAGUCUGCAACUCGACUGCAUGAAGCCGGAGUUGCUAGUAACCGCAGGUCAGCAAUACUGCGGUGAAUACGUUCCCGGGGCUU